rnacentral:rRNA from 1 species
GAUGAACGCUAGCUACAGGCUUAACACAUGCAAGUCGAGGGGAAACGACAUCGCAAGCUUGCUUUUGAUGGGCGUCGACCGGCGCACGGGUGAGUAACGCGUAUCCAACCUGCCCACCACUUGGGGAUAACCUUGCGAAAGUAAGACUAAUACCCAAUGAUAUCCCACGAAGACAUCUGAAUGGGAUUAAAGAUUUAUCGGUGAUGGAUGGGGAUGCGUCUGAUUAGCUUGUUGGCGGGGUAACGGCCCACCAAGGCAACGAUCAGUAGGGGUUCUGAGAGGAAGGUCCCCCACAUUGGAACUGAGGCACGGUCCAAACGCCUACGGGAGGCAGCAGUGAGGAAUAUUGGGCAAUGGGCGAGAGCCUGAACCAGCCAAGUAGCGUGCAGGAAGACGGCCCUAUGGGUUGUAAACUGCUUUUAUAAGGGAAUAAAGUGGGUCACGUGUGACUUUUUGCAUGUACCUUAUGAAUAAGGACCGGCUAAUUCCGUG